CAAAGAGAAGGGCAUGUUGAUAACUUCUUGAUUCCAGUUUUUUGUCGCAAACUGUUUGAGGAUAAUCACCCUAGUAAAUCUGGGAGGCAUCAUUUCUUCUCCUUUAUCGGUGAAAAUAUCCUCGACUAUAACAAUGAUGUUCAGCUAGGAUUAAUUGCUAAAGCUUUUAUUGGUGCUGCAUCAGCAAGUAAAGGGAAAAGAUUGGAGCUAUCCGACAGGCUCUUUUUCCCAAUAUGCCGCUCACGUCAUUGGUUCA